GUAAAACAAGUGUGUUCAGAACCACCAUAAAAAGACCCACCUUCAACCAAUAGAAUAGAAUAGAAUAGAAUAGAAUAGAAUAGAAUAGAAUAGAAUAGAAUAGAAUAGAAUAGAAUAGAACAGAACAGAAUUUUUCAUUGGCCAAAUGUGAUUGGAACACAAGAAAUUUGUCUUGGUGCAUAUGCUCUCAAUGUACAUAAAGGAAAAGAUACGUUCAUCAAGAAUCAUAAGGUACAACACUUAAUGAUAGUCAUAGGGUACAAAUAAGCAAUCAAAUCAUAUUAGGAAACAGUCAAUAUAAUCUGUAAGAAUACAAGCAAUAAAGUUAGAGUCAUACAGUUAUAAGUGGGAGGAGAUGGGUAAUAGUUUCCAAGGAAACAGAGGAAUGGUCAAACCACAUCUCGUUCUAACAGCAGGGAUAUAAUAAAAUAAUAAAGAGAACUCUAGUGCUUAAGACACCAGGCUAGAAAGCAGGAAACUAAGUUCUAGUCCUGCCUCAGGCAUGAAAACCAGCUGAGUGACUUUGGGCCAGUCACUCUCCCUCAGUGAGGAGGAAGAAGGAGUACUAUGUGUGUAUUUGCUGCUCUGAAUUAUUUAUAAAAAGUAAUAAAGGCAGGAUAUAAAAAAAGAAUAAAACAGUUUUUCUGACCAAGUCUGAGCCGUGGUGGCGCUUGAUUAGAAUGCAGUACUGCAGUGCUGACUGCCAGCAGUUCGAUUCUCACAGGCUCCAGGUUGACUCAGCCUUCCAUCCUUCCUGUUGUUGUUGUUAGUUGCGAAGUCAUGUCCGACCUAUCGCGACCCCAUGGACAACAUUCCUCCAGGCCUUCCUGUCCUCUACCAUCCUCUGGAGUCCAUUUAAACUCAUGCCUACUGCUUCAGUGACUCCAUCCAGCCACCUCGUUCUCUGUCGUCCCCUCCUUCUUUUGCCAUCAAUCUUUCCCACCAUUAGGCUCUUCUCCAGUGAGUCCUUCUUUCUCAUUAGGUGGCCAAAGUAUUUCAGUUUCAUCUUCAGGAUCUGGCCUUCUAAAGAGCAGUCAGGGUUGAUCUCCUCUAGAACUGACUUGUUUGUUCGCCUUGCAGUCCAAGGGACUCGCAGGAGUCUUCUCCAGCACCAGAGUUCAAAGGCCUCAAUUCUUUGGCGCUCAGUCUUUAUUAUGGUCCAACCUUCACACCCAUACAUUGCAACUGGGAAAACCAUAGCUUUGAUUAUACGCACUUUGGUUGGCAGGGUGAUGUCUCUGCUUUUUAGUACGCUGUCUACAUACGCUGGAUCAUGGAGAAAGCUAGGGAGUUCCAGAAAAACAUCUACUUCUGCUUCAUUGACUAUGCUAAAGCCUUGAUUGUGUGGAUCACAACAAAUUGUGGCAAGUUCUUAAAGAGAUGGGAGUACCAGACCAUCUUAUUUGUCUCUUGAGAAACCUGUAUGCGGGUCAAGAAGCCACAGUGAGAACUGGACACGGAACCACUGAUUGGUUCAAAAUUGGGAAAGGAGUCCGGCAAGGCUGUAUACUAUCACCCUGCCUAUUUAACUUAUAUGCAGAACACAUCAUGAGAAAGACGGGGCUAGAUGAAUCAAAAAUUGGAAUUAAGAUUGCCGGAAGAAAUAUCAACAACCUCAGAUAUGCAGAUGAUACCACUCUAAUGGCAGAAAGCGAAGAGGAACUAAAGAGUCUCUUGAUGCGGGUGAAGGAGGAGAGUGCAAAAGUUGGCUUGAAACUCAACAUUAAGAAAACUAAAAUCAUGGCAUCCGUCCAUCCUUCCUAGGUUGGUAAAAUGAGGAGCCAGAUAGUUGGAGGCAAUAUGCUGACUGUAAACUGCUCAGAGAGGGCUGUAUAGCGCUAUGAAGCAGUAUAAAAACUGAAGGGCCACUGCUAUUCCAAAACUGGUAUUUCACUGAGAAAGCUAUUUAAAGGUUAUCCCAAUCUUCCUCAACCUCUCAGUGUGUUGGGGUUCCAUUCCGAAUUUUUAGCCAGCCCAGCCAAUUGCUGAGAAUUCUGGGUAGGGUAGAUCCUGUGUACCUGACAGGCAUCAAUCAUAUGCGAGACAUGGGAGAAACUCAGAAGGGUGGAAAUCUGCCCUCCAGUGUCCCUGUCAGCACAAUACAAACACACACACACACACACAGCACUCAUGUAAAAGAAGCGGGGAUGAAAUAUACACACCGACCCUGCCAUUGGGCUGGCCUGGCUUUAAAAAAAAAAGGGAGAGGGGGGUGGGCAUCGUCGGAUAAAUUUCAAAGCACGUGUCGGAAAUACGACCGGUCCAGGAUGGCCACUGAUACGCCAAGCCUAGGAGAAGCCAGAGCAGCUCCACAUUCAGCCACCAUUGCUGCUUUUACGCUCCUAUUCCCCCGAUGCAAAUGCGGGAAGCUCCGGGCUGUUUGGGCGCAGAAGCCCACCUUAUGGGGGCCUGGUGCUUGCGGGGGGGGGGAUCCGGGAAACCGCGAACUGUCCGCUUCGAUGAAAGAGCAACGCCUACCUAUUUUGGCCGGCGGAGCCGCAUCCCCUGCCGCAGCGAAGGAAGGCUCCGUUCUCAUCCCCCCUACAGCUACGGUGUUAGGAUUCCAGCUGCUCAAAAUUGCUCCAGUUCGUAAAUUUAUCCUGUAUUUUGCUGAGCCAAGAAGCAUUUCAGAGUCAAGCUUAGAUUUUCAUCCUAUUUCUACCACAACCAGAUUUUAGACAAGGGCACAUUCCAUAAUUUUGAGGCAUAGCAAGAAGAACAUUGUUUGCAUCAUUUUUCCGAACAACAGGCUGUCCUCACACCAUGAAGACAGGAAGAAAGCAGCACAUCACUGGACAUGUGUGGACAGUCCAAAGAGUACUUUCAAACACACUUCAGAUUGCGCAUUGUUAUUUCUCAAACAUGAACUUGCAUAUGAGAUCCCUCCCAAAAUUCUUUGAUUGUAAACUUUUCCCAUCUUUUUUUUUUCAACUCUUAAAAGUUGGAAGAGGGGGAAAUUGAGUAAUUGAGUAUUCUGAUUGUAAUGCCAAGAAUAUUAAGUACCUAAAAUGGGUACUUUACAAAUAAGAGCAUGUAAUAAAUUAACCAGACCUGCUGACCUUUCAGUAUUGUCACAAGGAAGAAUGAACCUGUGGCUAUGCAUGUAUCAAUCUCAAAGAUCAAAGAAUCAUUUUUUUACCCCAGAUUAAAAGACAAAGAGAUGAAAAAUUCCAUUAUGAUGAAGUCACUGUAAAACAAGAAAAGAUCUUUGCCUCUUGAGGCUUUUAUCUCUAUUGGAUCAGGAUGAUUAAUGUUCUAUUUUCUGAUAAGCCUGAAAAAGUAGCCUUGAAAGAUGAGUAUGAAAACAGUAAUUUUUAAAAAGGGAAUAAAAAAAAAAUACAGGCCGGGAGUGGAGACUCUUACAUAUCUGUGGUUAUGUCUAACUAGCCAGCUUGAUUUACUGGAUAACAUAUCUAGUAAGUCUAGACCCUAUCAACAGUAGAAACCUUCAAAUUUCUAGGUUCUACCAUAUUGCAAGAUCUAAAAUGGACAGCUAACAACAAAAAUGUCAUCGAAAAAGCACAACAAAGAAUGUUAUUUCAGUGCCAACUCAGAAAGCUCAAACUGCCCAAGGAGCUGCUGAUCCAGUUCUACAGAGGAAUUAUUGAGUCUGUCAUCUGCACCUCUGUAACUGUCUGGUUUGGUUCUGCAACCCAACAAGACAGACACAGACUUCAGAGGAUAAUUAGAACUGCAGAAAAAACAAUGGCUACCUGCCUUCUAUUGAGGACCUGUAUACUGCACGAAUCAAAAAGAGGGCUGUGAAAAUAUUUACAGACCCCUCACAUCCUGGACAUAAAUUGUUUCAAUUUCUACCCUGAAAAUAACGCUACAGAGCACUGCACACCAGAACAACUAGACACAAGAACAGUUUUUUCCCGAAGGCCAUCACUCUGCUAAACAAAUAAUUCCCUCAACAUUGUCAAACUAUUUACUAAAUCUGCACUACUAAAUCUCUACUAAAGAUUUACUACUACUACUGCUACUGCUACUACUACUAAUAAUAACAACAACAACAACAGAGUUGGAAGGGGCCUUGGAGGUUUCUAAUCCAACCCCCUGCCCAGGCAGGAAACCCUACACCAUUUCAGACAAAUGGUUAUCCAACAUUUUCUUAAAAAUUUCCAGUGUUGGAGCAUUCACAACUUCUGCAGGCAAGUUGUUCCACUGAUUAAUUGUUUUAACUGUCAGGAAAUUUCUCCUUAGUUCUAAGUUGUUUCUCUCUUUGAUUAGUUUCCACCCAUUGCUUCUUGUUCUACCCUCAGGUGCUUUGGAGAAUAGCUUGACUCCCUCUUCUUUGUGGCAACCCCUGAGAUAUUGGAACACUGCUAUCAUGUCUCCCCUAGUCCUUCUCUUCAUUAAACUAGGCAUACCGAAUUCCUGCAACCGUUCUUCAUAUGUUUUAGCCUCCAGUCCCCUAAUCAUCUUUGUUGCUCUUCUCUGCACUCUUUCUAGUGUCUCAACAUCUUUUUUACAUCGUGGUGACCAAAACUGAAUGCAAUAUUCCAAGUGUGGCCUUACAAAGGCAUUAUAAAGUGGUAUUAACACUUCACGUGAUCUUGAUUCUAUCCCUCUGUUUAUGCAGCCCAGAACUGUGUUGGCUUUUUUGGCAGCUGCUGCACACUGCUGGCUCAUAUCUAAAUGGUUGUCCACUAGGACUCCAAGAUCAACAAUGAGAAAUCUUCUCAUCGUUCCCAUCACCCAUCUCCUUCCACUUAUGAUUGUAACUUUGUUGCUUGUAUCCUUACGAUUUAUACUGAUAUUGUUUCCUGACUGCUUAUUUAUAGCCUAUGACUAUCA